AGGUGAGGUAGAGGAGCAGCGUUUAAUAGUACAUAUGCUGAGGCCGGAAGCCGAGGAUACAUAUGGAAAGGAACCGCUGCCGAAGUUUCAGACAUCCAAAGUCUGCAGCUGGGACUGUAUCGAAGAGAUGCAGGACUGUCAUCCACGCAUUUGACCAUUGCAUGGGUGGUGCGCUAUCUCAAAA
rnacentral:ncRNA from 1 species